GUGAGGUAGUUAGAUGGGUUUUCAGAGAGGAGAAAUACAUUGCAUUUGCCGUUCCCUUUGCCUGGAACGCUCUUGCCGAGACUGGGGUGUGGCAGCUCCUUUCUCCAGUGCAGUAACCGGCCGAAAAGCCACCUCCGCCGAGAGGCCCUCAGGGCGCUUUGCAGCUCUUUAUCACCCCCAUCACCACUUUUGAAAGUUUAGCAAUUACCCCAGUGCUCAUAGUUUAUCAGCAUUUUCUCGUAUGUUUAUAUUUAUGUUGUUUAUGGUCUGUCUCCCAGCUUAAAAUGUCAUCUCCAUGAGAUCAGGAACCUGGUGUGCCGUUAUCACAGCUGCACGUCCACAACUGCUCCGGGAGCACUAGGAUCAAAGGCGGCCCGAGGAGCGAGCAGGCAGUCAAGUCGGUUGGACCUUCCCGUCUAUCAAGGAGCUCCCGCAUUUUCAUUGUUACUACGAGGCUUUCUCUCCCUUCCCCCUUGCUCACGAACUGCAUAGAACACAACCACCACACUCCCCUCAGGUCUUCUCCUGGGAACCCCUCAAGAAUCUGCAUCACUGCCUCUGGAUGUCAGGGUCACAGUCCCGGGUCGGGGUCCCACGAGGAUUCCGUGCUUCGUCAUCCUGCGUCUGCAAUCCUCCCUUCACCACCUAUUUUCUCUGUUCUCCAUCCCUCUGCCUCCGUCUCACUUCCUCAAGAGGUCGAGUUCUCUUUGCCUGUUCGACCACAUGGCUCCCCUGGAACCUUUUCCUUAAACCAGCCCCUCCCGCUCCGCCCUCAUUCUCUCUGCUUUCCUGGCUCGGAAACGCCAUUCGAC
rnacentral:lncRNA from 1 species